GUAGGGAAUAUUGCGCAAUGGGGGAAACCCUGACGCAGCAACGCCGCGUGAGUGAGGAAGGUCUUCGGAUUGUAAAACUCUUUUAUUAGGGAAAAAUGUCUAGGUGGCUAAUAUCCACUUAGAGUGAUGGUACCUAAGGAAUAAGCACCGGCUAACUUCGUGCCAGCAGCCGCGGUAAUACGAAGGGUGCAAGCGUUGUUCGGAAUCAUUGGGCGUAAAGCGCGCGCAGGCGGGUCAGUAAGUCAGGUGUGAAAUCUCGGAGCUCAACUCCGAGACGGGGACUUCAGGUAUUGGUCUAGAGUAGCGGAGGGGACAGGGGAAUUUCACGUGUAGGGGUAAAAUCCGUAGAGAUGUGAAGGAACACCGGAGGCGAAGGCGCCUGUCUGGACGAUUACUGACGCUGAGGCGCGAAAGCGUGGGGAGCAAACAGGAUUAGAUACCCGUGUAGUCC
rnacentral:rRNA from 1 species